GAUGAAGAACGCAGCGAAAUGCGAUACUUGGUGUGAAUUGCAGAAUCCCGUGAACCAUCGAGUCUUUGAACGCAAGUUGCGCCCGAAGCCAUUAGGCCGAGGGCACGCCUGCCUGGGCGUCACACGUCGUUGCCCCCCCAUCUACUCCUUCGGGAUUGCGGGGGGCGGAUGAUGGCCUCUCGUGCGCCUCGUCGCGCGGUUGGCCUAAAUGCCAAGUCCUCGGCGACGCACGCCACGACAAUCGGUGGUUGCGAAACCUCGGUUGCCUGUCGUGUGCGGUCGUCGCGCAUCGAGGGCUCGAAAAAAUUGCCGGGCUUCGGCUCGACUUUCAACGCGACCCCAGGUCAGGCGGGGUUACCCGCUGAAUUUAAGCAUAUCAAUAAGCGGAGGAA
rnacentral:misc_RNA from 1 species